GUUUGGGGCCCAUUGCAUUCUACUAAAAAGACAUCAAAGAUAAAUGAAAAAACCAAAGGCAAAAAGCUUUUGUCUUUUCUGAGUGUGGUAAAAGAUUUGGACAAAAGAGCCACCUGAAUAGACACCUGAUCAUUCAUACAGGACAAAAACCAUUUGGCUGUUCUGAAUGUGGUAAAACAUUUAGACAAAAGGGCAACCGGAACACACACAUGAUAAUUCAUACAGAACUAAAACCAUUUGACUGUUCUGAAUGUGGUAAAAGAUUCAGACAAAAG